AUAUUGCUAUACAAACGAGUAUAAAAAAAACAUGAUAGGAAAAUUUAUCUAUUUUAGAAGUUAUGAACUUUUAUUAAUAGUAUCCAACCAAGGAACUAAAGUAAUGUUUAAAGAAUGUAAUGAAUAUAUCAUAGAAAUAAGAGAGCACGAUUCUGAAUUUGUUAACAUUUUUGCCCUUUGGAAGAUAUUGCUGUAAAAUUCAAAAGAAGGGAUUGGGAAUUGAUCUCACAAUUUUAAAUUGAGAACUUAAUACUGAACCUUUUCCCAUUCAAGAUUCAACUUCAUAGGAACUCCAACUACCAGAUAAUACACACCGCCUGUGAUUCAUUCAUCAUUCUUAUUAUUGGUUUUUUAAAUUUAUUUUAUUAAUUUGUUUUAUCUAUUUUGAAAUUGAGUUCAUUGAAUCGUGUACUCUUAUUGGGUCACUCAUUAUUAUUCUUUUAUUAUAUUACUGUAAUUUUCGUUGCAAGUUACACCUGAAUGGUAAUUUUAUGAAUAAUUAUUGAUAAACCUUGUAUACAUAAUAAAAUUGUACAUUAAAUCAUAAUAUCAUAGAGAAAAGAUACCGUUAAUUGCAUUAUUCGUCUCUGAUAAUACUUUCAAUUAUUAUUUUACUAGCCUAUAUAUUGUAGAAUAUUUAAUGUCUCAUUAUAUGUUAUGAUUAAUAGUUGUGUAUGAGUUGAUGAAAUAAUACAUUAGUUUUAUUAAUCGGAAUGCACUUAAUAUACACCAAUUUGAUAAGAUUACAUUCCGAAGCUGAAAACAUCGGAAUAGCUUAUUAAGGAAGUGUUAGUUAAUUAAUGGUAGCUGUGUUGAGAUAAUGUUGUGAAUGGUUAUGACUUAAUGUCGCUUAUUUCUAAAAAAAUCUUCAUAUCGCGGAUAAUUUUGUAAAGUGAAAUUCUCCAGAUGUCUCCACAAAACAUUGCUGAACAUAGCUUAAUAUUUAAAUCUCUCUAAAACUGUGAAGAGGAUCAGGGCUGUAAUAAAGUAAACACCAUUUUAGAAUAGUUGAGCUUUGCAUAUUGAAUUUAUUUCAGUUAUCUAAUUCGUGAUUAUUAUUGGCAGGAUUGAAUGUCAGAACAAGUAUUGUGCCUCUUUUACACAUCCAUGGAGGAUGCAUUUUUUACUGGAAUUUUACAUUUUUACUACGCUUUUAUUUCAAUAUUAAUGUAUAUAAAGAUAACAUUUAUUGAAAUCCCCAAUCCUUUCCUGACGAACGUUUUCAUUGAUUAGGCAUAAUAUAAUAAUAUGGAAGGAAUUAUUAAGAUAGUGUUCUCAUUGAGUCUAUUUCUCAAUCUGGCUUUUGUCAAUUAUUGAAUUAUUUCUGUAUUAUGUACUCUACACGCUAAAUUUCAGUUCGUUAUCAAUUAGUUGAAUAACUAUAAAGCUUGUCACUGGAGCUUCUGACUUUUUAAUAUAGCAAAAUUUAAAUUUAAUGUCAAAUGAUCACCAGCACUAUGAAUCAACCAAACGUAUUCUAAACUCAAAUGUCCUAUUCAAACUUAAUUUGGAAGCAUUACUUAUUUGGAAAACUACUAAUUCUCUUUUCAACUUGAUUUUAUUUAUUGCUUCAAUUUUGAUUGGAAAUUGUCCAUCUGGAAGUUCAAACAAAUUUGAAUAAUAGGUGAGAUCGCUUUGCAUAGAUUAGCGUUGUCUGUGUAAUUCUUGAAAAAAAAUCUCGUUGAAUUGAAAAUGGUAGGUAAUCUAUUAUAGGUCAUUGUAGUCCCUUUGCCAACUUGGAACUUUCCGACUUGAUAAUUAAUACCUUGUUUCUCCAAUCUUUCCGACUUAAUAAUUAAUACCUUGUUUCUCCCGUCUUUCAAAGAUUUCCCACUUAAUAUUAGUGCAGUUUGUUUUAUUAUGAGCUUAACUUUGAGACAAUAGAUACCAGUAGGCCUACUCCUUGAAUGUUGAAACACAUGAACAUUGAGGAAACUCCAAGAGCUGAACAUUGAGUAAAAUUCAUCCAUUGUAAAUCUCUCUUGAUUAUCCUGGAAUUAUGAUUAUUAAUAAAUUGUAUUAACUAAACAAGAAAUUUGUGUUCUUGAAUCAGAUCAGUUAUCGUAGCCUUGUCUACUUCAAUGUUUCUUGGAUGGAAAAUGUAUGAUUUUUGUGAAAAAUAUUAUAGUUAGAUUGAAUACCAUUCUUAGCCAUGAUACAUGAGAAGUAUGGUAGGUAACAACUUAUGAGUUACCUGAAUUUUUCCUCUAAUAUGUUUUAGCAUACUCGAGAUGCAUUAGAAAUGUUCUAAAUUUCAAUUAGCCUGAAAAUCUGUUAAAUAUCAAUUUUAAUUAUUCUCCAGCUGGAGUCGAUUAUCAUUAUUUUUAAUGAGACAUUCCAUAAUACAUAUUUAAUGUCAUUAGUUGACUUUGCCACACUUGUUCCAGUAUAUCAAACAUAACAUCUAACUAUUCAUCAAGUCAUUGAAAUUUUCUAGUUAAUGUCAAACAUAAUUUAUUCUUUAUGAAACCCCACAGUGAGAAAUCCAACGGUGUUGAAUCUGAAAAAGAUUUUCAUGUAGGAAAUUCCAAACUUUACAGUGAAGGAGUUAAUGCACCGUCGUGUUUAAAAUAAAAGGAUACUUGUUCACCUGGAAUAUACUUGUGCUUGAUUUGCUGUACUAGGAGUCUUUCCACACAUUUUGUACUUUCCAUUUAAACAAAACUUUCUACCGUGGCGCUUGUAGAGUGUCAAUCUCCAGUUUAUUUUGUGUUUUAAAACAAAAAGUCACCUCUCAAUUAUGUUUGUAAUUUGAUUAAUGUUUUAGGUGCUUUUGAAGUUGUAAAGUCCUUGUGUAAUCACUUUCUGUAAUAUAUAUUGUAAAUGUUAGUAUUUCAAGUUGACCAUUCAUCAGACUCGUUAACUUAUCCAAUGUUACUAUUAUUAGGCCAACAUGCAAAUACUAUUAAGGAAUUUAUAUUGUUUUGCUCACCUUGUGAAUUUCUUGUUUCGUUUUUGUAUAACAAUAAGCAUUGGUAGCUCUUGAUUUCGACAUCCAGCUGUUCAAAAUAUUUCCUGCUUUCUCCGCUAAUACAAGUUCGGUUCUUAAGCUUUUAUUCAUAACGAUAUUAUGUUAUCAGGUAAUUUCAAUACUUUAUAAGGAACCAUGUUUAAAACUUCAAUCGUCCUCAUUUAUCAGGAAGUUGGGUGUCUGGAUAAGUUAGCUUACCAGGGUAUGAAUCUGCUAUAAAUAUAAUAAAAAAUUGAUUUGGCAAUCUUCAAUACUCAAAAUUGUAACGUUCACUGCUCACAUUCUUAAAUAGCAAAGCAAUAAUAUUCAAUUGAGCUUUGUUAUUUAGAAUAUGAAUUUGUAAUUUAUUGAAUCAUAUUAUAAGGAUAUUGACUAUUAUGUAUAAUUUUAUUUUUUAACGCAUUAUAUACUGCAACUCUUACUACCAUGUAUUUGAUAUUGCUUUCUUUAUAGGUAACCAAUUCUUAUUUUAUUAAGUUUUUAGUUCCACAAACUAUCGAAACAUAUAAAAUGUUUUCAGCUCAUUAUUAUUUCACUAUACAGUUUAGCAUGGUUUCUAGUUCUAUAUUAAUCAAUCAAAUGUAAAUUUGUGUAUCAUUUCCUUUGCUUCUUGUGAAAGAAAACUUUUUUAGUUCAACAUUUUAUCAAAAACACUAUGUUUUCAGAUUAUUAUUUCACAUUGUAUGCUGUUUAGCAUGGUUUCUAGUUCCAUAAUAUUUUUUGCUUCGUGUGAUAUCAAUCAAUAUAGAUUGCAAUCAGUAUACUCAAGAAAUAUAAUCAACGUCAUUCUUUAAAUAGUAUUAAUGAUCAUCUUCCCUUGAAAUGUGUUUAUGUAUAAUAAAAAUCACAUAUGUAAAUGAUGAGAAAUCUUUAUAAUUAUAUACCAUUUUUACAAACAA